rnacentral:rRNA from 1 species
UACGAAGGGGGCUAGCGUUGCUCGGAAUCACUGGGCGUAAAGCGCACGUAGGCGGCUUCUUAAGUCAGGGGUGAAAUCCUGGAGCUCAACUCCAGAACUGCCUUUGAUACUGAGAAGCUUGAGUCCGGGAGAGGUGAGUGGAACUGCGAGUGUAGAGGUGAAAUUCGUAGAUAUUGGGAAGAACACCGGUGGCGAAGGCGGCUCACUGGCUCGUAACUGACGCUCAGGCGCGAUAGCGUGGGGAUCAAACAGG